UACGAAGGGGGCUAGCGUUGUUCGGAAUUACUGGGCGUAAAGCGCGCGCAGGCGGUCUUCCAAGUCAGUGGUGAAAGUCCGGAGCUCAACUCCGGAACUGCCAUUGAAACUGUUGGACUUGAGUACGAGAGAGGUGAGUGGAAUUCCCAGUGUAGAGGUGAAAUUCGUAGAUAUUGGGAAGAACACCGGUGGCGAAGGCGGGUCACUGGCUCGUAACUGACGCUCAGGCGCGACAGCGUGGGGAGCAAACAGG
rnacentral:rRNA from 1 species